rnacentral:rRNA from 1 species
UACAGAGGUCCCAAGCGUUGUUCGGAUUCACUGGGCGUAAAGGGUGCGUAGGUGGUGAGGUAAGUCGGAUGUGAAAGCUCGGAGCUCAACUCCGAAAUGGCAUUGGAAACUACCUUGCUCGAGGGUUGGAGGGGGGACUGGAAUGCUUGGUGUAGCAGUGAAAUGCGUAGAUAUCAAGCGGAACACCAGUGGCGAGGGCGAGUCCCUGGACAACUCCUGACACUGAGGCACGAAAGCUAGGGGAGCAAACAGG